UAGUGAUGCCUUGAAAGCAUUUCAUGAUAUGGGUGGUGUUCAGCUCAUAUGCAAUAAUAUGGUUACUAGUACAAGGGCUAUUGUGAACACUGCAAGAAGUAUGGUAUCAACUAUUAUGAAAUUUCUUGACUCUGGUCCAAAUAAAGCUGUUGACAGCACAUUGAAAACAAGAAUACUAGCUUCUGAGCCUGAUAAUGCUGAAGGGAUUCAUAACUUUGCACCCCUUGGUACAAUCACAUCUAGCAGUCCUACUGCCCAACCAGCUGAAGUGCUAUUGCAGGCCACACCUCCUCACAGAAGAGCUCGCUCUGCUGCUUGGUCCUACAUCUUUCUUCCAGAGGAGGCUUGGUGUGACCUUACCAUUCACCUUCCUGCAGCAGUGCUGCUUAAGGAGAUACAUAUCCAGCCUCAUCUUGCAUCUCUUGCAAGUGAGUAAUAUUUUAUAAAGAAGCAUCAUGAGAACAAGCUUUAAUUUAGAAAUAUUUGAAAAUAAAAAUGUUUAGUAAGCGGAAAUACACUUAGGUGUGAUUACCAGAGAGUGUAACUUCUGAACAGUUUUUAUUGAAAUAAUUAAUACU
rnacentral:sRNA from 1 species